UACGGGGGGGGCAAGCGUUGUUCGGAAUUACUGGGCGUAAAGGGCUCGUAGGCGGCCAACUAAGUCAGACGUGAAAUCCCUCGGCUUAACCGGGGAACUGCAUCUGAUACUGGAUGGCUUGAGAUUGGGAGAGGGAUGCGGAAUUCCAGGUGUAGCGGUGAAAUGCGUAGAUAUCUGGAGGAACACCGGUGGCGAAGGCGGCAUCCUGGACCAACACUGACGCUGAGGAGCGAAAGCCAGGGGGAGCAAACGGG
rnacentral:rRNA from 1 species